rnacentral:rRNA from 1 species
GGACUACCCGGGUAUCUAAUCCUGUUUGCUCCCCACGCUUUCGCACCUCAGCGUCAGUAUCUGCCCAGAUCGCCGCCUUCGCCACUGGUGUUCCUCCCGAUAUCUACGAAUUUCACCUCUACACCGGGAAUUCCGCGAUCCUCUUCAGUACUCAAGCCCAGUAGUUUCGAAUGCACUUCCUCGGUUAAGCCGAGGGCUUUCACACCCGACUUGCUGGACCGCCUACGUGCGCUUUACGCCCAAUGAUUCCGAGCAACGUUUGCACCCUCCGUAUUACCGCGGCUGCUGGCAC